rnacentral:rRNA from 1 species
UACGGAGGGUGCGAGCGUUGUCCGGAAUCAUUGGGCGUAAAGGGCGCGUAGGUGGCCCGGUCAGUCUUUGGUGAAAGCGCGGGGCUCAACCCUGCGUCGGCCAGGGAUACUGCCGCGGCUCGAGCACUGUAGAGGCAGGCGGAAUUCCGGGUGUAGCGGUGGAAUGCGUAGAGAUCCGGAAGAACACCGGUGGCGAAGGCGGCCUGCUGGGCAGUUUGGCUGACACUGAGGCGCGAAAGCGUGGGGAGCGAACCGG